GUCUCCGUGGCGCAAUUGGUUAGCGCGUUCGACUGUUAAUCGAGAGGUUGACAGUUCAACCCUGUCCGGGGACG
rnacentral:tRNA from 1 species